rnacentral:rRNA from 1 species
GACGAACGCUGGCGGCGUGCUUAACACAUGCAAGUCGAACGGAAAGGCCCUGCUUUUGUGGGGUGCUCGAGUGGCGAACGGGUGAGUAACACGUGAGUAACCUGCCCUUGACUUUGGGAUAACUUCAGGAAACUGGGGCUAAUACCGGAUAGGAGCUCCUGCUGCAUGGUGGGGGUUGGAAAGUUUCGGCGGUUGGGGAUGGACUCGCGGCUUAUCAGCUUGUUGGUGGGGUAGUGGCUUACCAAGGCUUUGACGGGUAGCCGGCCUGAGAGGGUGACCGGCCACAUUGGGACUGAGAUACUGCCCAGACUCCUACGGGAGGCAGCAGUGGGGAAUAGUGCACAAUGGGCGGAAGCCUGAUGCAGCAACGCCGCGUGCGGGAUGACGGCCUUCGGGUUGUAAACCGCUUUCGCCUGUGACGAAGCGUGAGUGACGGUAAUGGGUAAAGAAGCACCGGCUAACUACGUG